rnacentral:rRNA from 1 species
AUGAAGAGGAAGAGUACAGCAACAAUAGAUUCGUUUUUCAAGCCUAUUGCUUCUAGCUCUAAUGCAACUGAAAAUGCAAAUCCACCGGAGGAGCAACCUGUUGUAGAUGAUACUUCCAGCCCCAAUCUAGUUGAUAUGCAAACUGAUGAUCAAAAUAUUGUGGCACCACUAGAAACUAUAGAAGAAGGUAGAACUAGAAGCACGAAAUAUGUGAGGGAUCCUGGUACACGCCAACAGAUUUGGGACUCCAUCCUGAUAAGCAGGAAGAAGCACGUCGAUUCUAUAUUUCUAAGGGCGCUUUUCAUCCAUACAUGA